UACGUAGGGUGCGAGCGUUAAUCGGAAUUACUGGGCGUAAAGCGUGCGCAGGCGGUUCGUUAAGUUCGUUGUGAAAGCCCCGGGCUCAACCUGGGAACUGCAAUGGAAACUGGCGGGCUUGAGUGUGGCAGAGGGGGGUGGAAUUCCGCGUGUAGCAGUGAAAUGCGUAGAGAUGCGGAGGAACACCGAUGGCGAAGGCAGCCCCCUGGGCCAACACUGACGCUCAGGCACGAAAGCGUGGGGAGCGAACCGG
rnacentral:rRNA from 1 species